rnacentral:rRNA from 1 species
GACGAACGCUGGCGGCGUGCUUAACACAUGCCAGUCGAACGGACAGGCCCUGCUUUUGCGGCGUGCUCGAGUGGCGCACGGGUGUGUAACACGUGAGUAACCUGCCCUUGUCUUUGGGAUAAAUUCAGGAGACUGGGGCUCAUACCGGAUAGGAGCUCCUGCUGCAUGUUGGGGGUUGGUAAGUUUCGGCGGUUGGGGCUGGACUCGCGGGUUAUCGGCCUGUUGGGGAGGUAGUGGCUUACCCAGGGUUCGACGGCUAGCCGGCCUGGGAGGGGUACCGGCGACAUGGGGACUGCGAUACGGCGCAGAAGCCUACGGGAGGCAGCAGGGGGGAAUAUGGCAGAAUGAGGGGAAGCGAGAGGCGGCAACGCCGCGAGCGUGAUAACGGGCUUCGGGUGGUGAACCACUUUCGCCGGUGACGAAGCGGGAGUGACGGUAAUGGGUAAAGAAGCACCGGCUAACUACGUG